rfam:Cylindrobasidium torrendii FP15055 ss-10 unplaced genomic scaffold CYLTOscaffold_439, whole genome shotgun sequence.
GGCAAGGUGGCCGAGUGGUCUAAGGCGCGUGACUCAAGCUGACUAAAGCUUGCCUUGUUUCUCGUGAGAGUAUUCUCGCGUGGGUUCAAAUCCCACCCUUGUCA